rnacentral:rRNA from 1 species
GACAGAGGGUGCGAACGUUGCUCGGAAUUACUGGGCGUAAAGCGCGUGUAGGCGGACGAUCAAGUCAGGUGUGAAAUCCCUGGGCUCAACCCAGGAACUGCACUUGAAACUGGUCGCCUUGAGUGUUGGAGAGGGAAGCGGAAUUCCUGGUGUAGAGGUGAAAUUCGUAGAUAUCAGGAGGAACACCGGUGGCGAAGGCGGCUUCCUGGACAACUACUGACGCUGAGACGCGAAAGCGUGAGGAGCAAACAGG